rnacentral:lncRNA from 1 species
CUUUAGCUUUUAUAUACUUAGUAGGCAACCCUUUUUGUUGGUUGGUUGUAGCAUAAUAUUCUCAUGCACCGACUUUUAAAAGAGACCACCAAAACUCUCUUUGUGGAUACUCUUAUAGUAUUAAGCAUCCUAUCCCGCUAAUAGGCGCUUGAAUAUCAGAUAUUUAUUUGAAAUAACACAAGAUAUAUGAGGUUGUGAAUGAGGUUUACAGAAUAGAGAAUAAUGCCCCUCCCCCCCCCCCCCCAAAAAAAAGAGAGAGAAUAUAAAGUAAAGUUGAUUAACAAAAUAACUAAACUCUGCGUUUUCUGCAUACCAAAUUAAAUAUUGAUAUACGUAUAUCAUUUGGAAUGAAAUGUUGAACUGGUCCUUAUCAGAACUGGUUCAAUGAUUUUAGCCAUGCAAAUUAUGUUCAUUAAUAAGCAUCGGUAUUUUCGUCCACCAUUGCAGACUUAGUUAACCUUACAUCCUUCUCCUACAUUGUGUCAAUAAUUAUUACAACAAUGAAAUUUCGUGAAAGAGUUCCGACAAAAAUAACCAUUGACAACAAAAAGCUAUGUACAGCUGAAAAAAACAUACAACAACUAGUCAUACAAUCAAAGAGCUAUAAUUCUCGAUUUUUGGAACGAAGCAUGCACACAAAGAACAGAAACAGUUGAAGAGCUAUCAGACCAAACAGAACCUAAUAAAUAGCCAAAUCAUGCAGACGAAGAUCAACUUUGUCUAAUGGAGUUGAAACCUUAGUUUCUUUAUAAUUUCAAAAUUUAUGGAUAAUUUUAAGGGACGUCUCUUUUGCCGGAAUGAUUCCUACGUCUUCAGUUUCAUAUUUGAGAGAUCCAUAAUUCAUUCCAAUUUAAAAAAAAACAA